UACGAACCGUGCGAACGUUAUUCGGAAUCACUGGGCUUAAAGCGCGCGUAGGCGGCUCGGAAAGUCGGUCGUGAAAUGCCGGGGCUCAACCCCGGGACUGCGUCCGAUACUCCCGAGCUGGAGGCAGGUAGGGGAGAUCGGAAUUCCUGGUGUAGCGGUGAAAUGCGCAGAUAUCAGGAGGAACACCGGUGGCGAAGGCGGAUCUCUGGGCCUUGACUGACGCUGAGGCGCGAAAGCUAGGGGAGCGAACAGG
rnacentral:rRNA from 1 species